UAAAGGAAAUAAGAGCGCACAGUGGAUGCCUAGGCACCAAGAGCUGAUGAAGGACGCAAUUAACGGCGAUACGCUACGGGGAGCUGUAAAUAAGUGUAGAUCCGUGGAUUUCCGAAUGGGGCAACCUACUAUAAGAAGUUAUAGUAUCAAUUGUUAGGCAACUAACUGAUUGAAAGGAACGCAGUGAACUGAAAUAUCUAAGUAACUGCAGGAACAGAAAGUAAUAACGAUUCCGGUAGUAGUGACGAGCGAAUCCGGAACAGCCGGAUACCAAUAACUAGUUACCAAAUUUUAAUUAACUCGAAAUAGUUGGAAAGCUAUAUCCCAGAAGGUGAAAAUCCUGUAGAGGUAAGUUAAAAUCUAGGGUAUCCUCAAGUACGGCGAGACACGAGAAAUCUUGUUGGAAGAUAGGAGGACCAUCUCCUAAGGCUAAAUACUCCUUGGUGACCGAUAGUGAACUAGUACCGUGAGGGAAAGGUGAAAAGAACCCCGGAAGGGGAGUGAAAUAGAUCCUGAAACUGUGUGCUUACAAGUAGUCAAAGCUCGUUUAAGAGUGAUGGCGUGCCUUUUGCAGAAUGAACCGGCGAGUUAUGAUAUAGAGCAAGGUUAAGUUUGAAGGAACGUAGCCGUAGCGAAAGCGAGUCUGAAUAGGGCGUUUAGUUGUAUGUCAUAGACCCGAAACUGAAGUGAGCUAGCCAUGAACAGGCUGAAGUGACGUGACCACGUCAUGGAGGGCCGAACCAGGACACGUUGAAAAGUGUUUGGAUGAUUUGUGGCUAGAGGUGAAAUUCCAAUCGAACUCAGAGAUAGCUGGUUCUCCCCGAAAUAGCUUUAGGGCUAGCGUUGGGUAUUUAAUAGUUCUUGAAGGUAGAGCACUAAAUGAGUGCGGGCUCCACCUCGGGGUACCAAUCUCAAUUAAACUCCGAAUGUCAAGAACCGUAUCCCAGCAGUCAGACGAUGGGUGAUAAGGUCCAUGGUCAAAAGGGAAAGAGCCCAGACCGUCAGCUAAGGUCCCUAAAUUAAUGUUAAGUGGUUAAGGAAGUAAAAACGUUAAAACAAUUAGGAAGUUGGCUUAGAAGCAGCCAUCUUUUAAAGAGUGCGUAAUAACUCACUAAUCUAAUAUUUUUGCACCGAAAAUGUAACGGGGCUAAACAUUAUACCGAAGCUACGGAUAUGUUCCGGCUAGUAAUAGCUAAGGAACAUGUGGUAGGGGAAGCGUUCUAACAUCGUAGAAGCUAUAGCGGAAGCAGUAGUGGAGAGGUUAGAAGUGAGAAUGCCGGUGUAAGUAACGAAAAGAUAGAUGAGAAUUCUAUCCGUCGAAAACCCAAGGUUUCCAGGGGCAGGGUCGUCCGCCCUGGGUUAGUCAGGAACUAAGGCGAGGCAGCAAUGCGUAGUCGAUGACCAGCAGGCUAAAAUUCCUGCACUAAAAAAAUCACUGAUGGAGGGACAAAAGAGGAUAAGCACGCCCUUUAUUGGAUUAGGGUCGAAAAAUCGAGUUUGAGAAGAUAGGCAAAUCCGUCUUCUUACUCGCCAAAAAAUGAGAUUUGAGGGUAACGUGACUGUGUUCAUAUUUUCUAGAAAAGCUUCUAGGGUUAAUGAUUUUUUUACCUGUACCGUAAACCGACACAGGUGGGAAGGUAGAGUAUACUAAGACGCGCGAGAAAACUCUUGUUAAGGAACUCGGCAAAAUGACUCCGUAACUUCGGGAUAAGGAGAGCUUUUAUGAUAAAAAGUAAAAGCUCGCAGAGAAUAGGCCCAAGCGACUGUUUAUCAAAAACACAGGUCUCUGCUAAACCGUAAGGUGAUGUAUAGGGGCUGAUGCCUGCCCGGUGCUGGAAGAUUAAGAGGAGAUGUUCGGGCUUGCCCAAAGCAUUGAAUUGAAGUCCCAGUGAACGGCGGCCGUAACUAUAACGGUCCUAAGGUAGCGAAAUUCCUUGUCGGGUAAAUUCCGACCUGCACGAAAGGCAUAACGAUUUGGGCGCUGUCUCAACAAGAGUCUCGGUGAAAUCAAAUUACCGGUGAAAAUGCCGGUUACCCGCGACAGGACGAAAAGACCCCAUGGAGCUUUACUGUAGCUUAAUAUUGGAAUUGGAAAUCUCAUGUACAGGAUAGGUGGGAGACAGAGAACUUUAGACGCUAGUUUAAAGGGAGUCACCGGUGGGAUACCACUCUUGAGAUUUUUAGUUUCUAACCUGCAUAAGUGGAUUAUGAGGGACAGUGUUUGGUGGGCAGUUUGACUGGGGCGGUCGCCUCCUAAAAAGUAACGGAGGCGUUCAAAGGUUCCCUCAAAAUGGUCAGAAAUCAUUUUUAGAGCGUAAAGGUAUAAGGGAGCUUGACUGUGAGACCUACAAGUCGAGCAGGGACGAAAGUCGGACUUAGUGAUCUUGCGGUACCGAAUGGAAGGGCCGUGACUCAACGGAUAAAAGCUACCCUGGGGAUAACAGCCUUAUCGCCCCCGAGCGUUCACAGCGACGGGGCGGUUUGGGACCUCGAUGUCGGCUCAUCGCAUCCUGGAGCUGGAGCAGGUUCCAAGGGUUGGGCUGUUCGCCCAUUAAAGCGGUACGCGAGCUGGGUUCAGAACGUCGUGAGACAGUUCGGUCUCUAUCCGUCGUGGGCGUUGGAAAUUUGCGAGGAACUGUCCCUAGUAUGAGAAGACCGGGAUGGAUAUACCGCUGGUGCACCAGUUGGUUCGCCAGAGCCAUAGCUGGGUAGCUAUGUAUAGUAUGGAUAAACACUGAAAGCAUCUAAGUGUGAAGCCUCCCUCAAGAUGAGAUUUCCCUAAGAGAUCCCUGAAAGACGAUCAGGUUGAUAGGCUAGAAGUGGAAGAGUAGUGAUAUUUGGAGCUGACUAGUACUAAUAGAUCCAACGACUUUGAUGA
rnacentral:rRNA from 1 species